rnacentral:rRNA from 1 species
UACGAAGGGGACUAGCGUUGUUCGGAAUUACUGGGCGUAAAGCGCACGUAGGCGGAUUUGUAAGUCAGGGGUGAAAUCCCGGGGCUCAACCUCGGAACUGCCUUUGAUACUGCAAAUCUCGAGUCCGAUAGAGGUGGGUGGAAUUCCUAGUGUAGAGGUGAAAUGCGUAGAUAUUGGGAGGAACACCAGUGGCGAAGGCGGCUCACUGGACCGGAACUGACGCUGAGGCGCGAAAGCGUGGGGAGCAAACGGG